AAGGUGUGGUUUGAAUGCAUCUGCUGCCAGGAAAUGAUUGGCACGCAACUCUGCUAUAUAAAUUUCACAUGGAUGCGAUUUUACAUCAGAAAUUUUCAGAUUUUUCUACUUUUAGAAAAGAAAAAUAACAAAAGUAAACAUGAUGUACAAAGCUUUAUUUCUGCUACUUGUCAUUCUAACGGUGACUGAUGCUGCGUGUCGUCAACAAGACUGCUCAAGAGUUGCGUGUGGUAAUCCUUACUGUGGAAGAGGUGUUCAACCUACUUAUGACCCCUGCGUUUCUUGCUGCCCAUUCUGCCCAAUGAAAAAGGGUUAGCUGUGUCAAAAGAAUUGAACUGCAGGCUAUGAUUUGAAUAGAUGGCUGAAUCACAUAUAUUCUUUUUUUCAUAUAGCUAUCUUAAAAUGCUACAGAGUGACUUCAGAUAAGUGUAUAUCUUAAAAAAUCCUUUUUUAAAUAAACAUUUGAAUCUAA